UGCGUAGGCGGCGCGGAAAGUCAGGGGUGAAAUCCCGGAGCUCAACUCCGGAACUGCCUUUGAUACUCCCGUGCUUGAGUACUGGAGAGGAGUUCGGAAUUCACGGUGGAGCAGUGAAAUGCGUGGAUAUCGUGAGGAACACUAGUGGCGAAGGCGGAACUCUGGACAGUUACUGACGCUGAGGCACGAAGGCCAGGGGAGCAAACG
rnacentral:rRNA from 1 species